GACGUAGGGCGCGAGCGUUGUCCGGAUUUAUUGGGCGUAAAGAGCUCGUAGGCGGCUUGUCGCGUCGUCCGUGAAAACCUGCAGCUCAACUGCAGGCUUGCGGUCGAUACGGGCAGGCUAGAGUUCGGUAGGGGAGACUGGAAUUCCUGGUGUAGCGGUGAAAGUGCGCAGAUAUCAGGAGGAACACCGGUGGCGAAGGCGGGUCUCUGGGCCGAUACUGACGCUGAGGAGCGAAAGCGUGGGGAGCGAACAGG
rnacentral:rRNA from 1 species